rnacentral:rRNA from 1 species
GAACGCUGGCGGCGUGCUUAACACAUGCAAGUCAGGGGGAAACUUCCCUUCGGGGAGGGAGUACACCGGCGCACGGGUGAGUAACGCGUGAGUGACCUACCCAUUAGACCUGGAUAACCUGGCGAAAGUUGGGCUAAGACGAGAUGUGUUAAUACACGUAAUGGUGUAUUAGUAAAGGCAGGCUUCGGCUUGUGCUAAUGGAUGGGCUCGCGUAUGAUUAGCUAGUUGGUAAGGUAACGGCUUACCAAGGCGACGAUCAUUAGGCGGCCUGAGAGGGUGGUCGCCCACACUGGAACUGAGACACGGUCCAGACUCCUACGGGAGGCAGCAGUGGGGAAUUUUGCGCAAUGGGCGAGAGCCUGACGCAGCGACGCCGCGUGGACGAGGAAGGCCUUCGGGUCGUAAAGUCCUUUUUUACGGGAAGAAAGUUAAUACAAGUAACUGUGUAUUAAUUGACGGUACCGUAAGAAUAAGCCCCGGCUAACUCCGUGCCAGCAGCCGCGGUAAUACGGAGGGGGCGAGCGUUGUUCGGAAUUACUGGGCGUAAAGCGUGCGUAGGCGGCGUGGUAAGUCGGAGGUUAAAGGCUACGGCUCAACCGUAGUAGGGCCUUUGAUACUAUCAUGCUAG